rnacentral:lncRNA from 10 species
CUUUCCUGAUAUGUCCUCUGAAAAUAGUCUCUCCUCUCUCCCAAGUUAACCCCUGAGAUCUCCCUACAUUCUCAAGUAGCUCACCAGCUAAGGGUGGCAGAGCAAGUCAACAACAGACUGGAUUUGACAAAGGAAGUGGGGUUGGAGCCUUGCACAAAGUAUGAUGUGGGCAGUCAGAGAAGACCUCUUGGAGGAGGUGAAAUAGAAGCGGAGUCUCUGAAGGCAAUGCUGGGGACAAGAAACAGCAAAAGCCGUCAGCUAAAUUGGGAUUCCAGUACCGGAGCAUCUAGCAACGCUUCAGCUGGAAAUGAAGAGACCUAGACUUGGGUGUAUAUAGCUGCGCCCUAGAAGCUUCUUUUCCUGGAAGAUGGCCUAAUGCCUAGUUGUCUGACCUGUGACCAGGAGUCCUGCACACAGGGAACUCAUUUAUACUGGCAGACACCCUUGUGGCUUUUGUCUAAUCUGUGUCCAUUUUAUGCUUGCUCUGGUGGUAGAAGUCAAACUUCGUGUUCUCCUUGGUGUUCCAGGAAAAACACAGCCUGGGGUAGCCCCUUGUUCUUCAAAUAGAAGGUGCAAAUUCAAUACACCACCACAACAGGUGUUCAAAGAUUUUUUACUUACAGAUUCUGGACAGGGAAGGUGCAAUGGGUAGAGAGGGCAGUCCUCCUUCCCCAGAUGACACAAGGCAGUAAUACACAGAGUCAGGAAAGAGUGAGAGAGAGAGAGAGAUAAAGAGAGAGAGAGAGAGAGAGAGAGAGAGAGAGAGAGAGAGAGGCAACCAGCAGUAUAGAAAAGAAAAUAGGGUGUGAGUAAUUUUAAGUUUGUGGGCAAAUGCCUUAAUAUUCCCUUUAAAGGAAGUGACAGCCCAGUCUGCUAGAUGAGAGAGUUGCCUGCAAAUUCUUAUUUCUGGCUACUGGCUUGAACCAUUUGGAUGUGGUGUAGAACUAGAGACAAUGUCAAGGGUGACACAGUUCUGGUGUGAGAAAGUUAAAACUGGAUUCAAAAUGUAUCCAACAGAAAAUUGUAUGAAUUCACUACACCGUUUACCUAGC